GUGGUUUUGGAUGGACUCGCGGCCUAUCAGCUUGUUGGUGAGGUAAUGGCUCACCAAGGCGACGACGGGUAGCCGGCCUGAGAGGGUGACCGGCCACACUGGGACUGAGACACGGCCCAG
rnacentral:rRNA from 1 species